rnacentral:lncRNA from 1 species
GGACCGUAGUAUCCACCAGGCAACUCCUAUCCAUUGCCAACGGUCUCGAGUCCGGACCAUGAAUUACGAAUCCUACUUAUCCUCUCAAGCCAAACACAUUGCCAUCGAAAUUGAUCUUAAGAAAUAUCGGGGGUGGGGGCUCCCAAGAGAUGAAUAUCCGAUAGGUCACUCAACGAACCCAACGGGAGCCCCAGCAGUCCGCCAUCCUCAAGGCCGAAUUGAGCAAUGAAGAGUGAACAAACUCCAUCACCUAGGCCAGGGCUCUCUCCACCACAACAGCCAAUGC